rnacentral:rRNA from 1 species
UCGGCAAUGGGCGAAAGCCUGACCGAGCGACGCCGCGUGCGGGAUGAAGGCCUUCGGGUUGUAAACCGCUGUCGUAGAGGAGGAAGUGCAGGAGGGUUCUCCCUUCUGUUUGACCUAUUCUAGGAGGAAGUACGGGCUAAGUUCGUGCCAGCAGCCGCGGUAAGACGAACCGUACAAACGUUACUCGGAAUUACUGGGCUUAAAGGGUGCGUAGGCUGCGCGGAAAGUUGGAUGUGAAAGCCCUCGGCUCAACUGGGGAAUUGCAUUCAAAACUGCCGUGCUCGAGGGAGACAGAGGUAAGCGGAACUCAAGGUGGAGCGGUGAAAUGCGUUGAUAUCUUGAGGAACACCGGUGGCGAAGGCGGCUUACUGGGUCUCUUCUGACGCUGAGGCACGAAAGCUAAGGUAGCAAACGGGAUUAGAUACCCCGGUAGUCUUAGCUGUAAACGAUGAGCACUUGAUUGAAGGGUCCUCCAUAGCCUUUCAGUCGUAGCGAAAGUGUUAAGUGCUCCGCCUGGGGAGUAUGGUCGCAAGGCUGAAACUCAAAGAA